AAAAGGAUGGAAAAGCAGUAUGCAAUAUCUGCAAAAAGGAUUAUGUCUGGAGAUAUGGUCAAGGCACCGGCACGCUACGGAGACACAAAGAGAAACAUCUAAAUGAAACAGGGCAUUUGGAUCCUAGACAAACUCAAAUUACUGGUUUUAUUAAUGCUAGUGGAUCAAUUACUUUUACUAAUUUUGUUUAUUCGCAGGAACGAAUACGAGUUGGGAUGUCGGAAUUUUUAGCAGCUCGUGAGAUGCCCUUCACAUUUGCAGAAGAUCGGUAUUUUGAAGAGUUCCUGCAAAAGUACAUUCAACCUUCUUACAGGAGCGUAGGUAGAAAUACUGCUCGUUCUGAUUCUAUGAAAUUAUUUCAUACAAUGGCUGAGAAUUUAAAAAAUGAACUUAAAAAAAUUGAUGGAAUUAUGUGUUUCACGUCUGAUUGUUGGUCUGGACGAAAUCAUAAUGGUUAUGCUUGUGUUACAGCACAUUUCAUUGAUAAUAAUUGGUUAUUACAUAAGAGAAUUAUUGCUUUUCGUUUACUUGAAUAUCCACAUAAUGGUGUAAAUUUGUGUGAAAAUUUAUUACAAGUUUUUAAUGAAUUUGAUGUGUUAAAUAAACUAUUUAGUGUUACCUUUGAUAAUGCAAGUGCUAAUAAUGCAUGUAUUGAGCUUUUAAUUAGAGCGGUUACACCCCUAUAUGAUUCUAAAUUAUUUCACAUGCGUUGUGUUUGUCAUAUAUAUAAUUUAGUUAUGCAAGAUGGUUUGAAAUUAAUAACACCACAAAUAAGUAUAAUUAGAGAAUCUAUUAAUUAUAUUUCUUGUUUAGAUUCUAGACAACAAGAAUUUGCAAAAAUUUGUAAAAAUCUUGGAUUGAGAAGAAGAAAAUUUGUUGAUGAUGUUCCUAAUAGAUGGAAUUCAACUUUUUUAAUGUUAAAAUCGUGUGUUGGCUAUACUAAUGCUAUUAAUGCAUUUGUUAGUUCAAAGCAAAAUCAAUUUUAUAUAACUGAUUCGGACUGGGAAAAAGCAUUUAAAAUUAUGAAAUUUUUGAAACCUUUGUAUAAGGCAACAAUAGUUAGUUCUGGAGUUUAUUAUACAACUAGUAAUCUUGUACUUUUACAAUUAGUAGAAAUUGCUGAACAGUUUUCAUCAUUUAGAGACAAUCCAUUUUUCUUUCAAAUUAUUUACUCAAUGGAGGAAAAGUUUAAAAAAUAUUAUGAAAACAUGCCACUAAUUUUUCCAGUGACAGUUGUAAUGGAUCCUCGCAUUAAGUUGUUUGGAGUUCAUUGUGCUUUAGAAUCACUUUCUGAAACAUUAGCUUUUAACAUAAAUAUUACAAAUCGACAAUUGGAUAUUUUUAUUAAUGAAAUGUAUAACAACUAUUUUAUUAAAUAUUGUAACAAUGAAAAUAUUUCUUCUUCUACAAACUCUAGUACAACUUCUAAAGGCAAAUCUUCUUUUUUCUCUAUAAUAGCUAAGAAACGUAAUGUUCUUGGUUCUUCAUCUACAACUUCAACUGCAAAUCCAAAUACCACACCUGGUGAAUUAGAAAGAUAUUAUCAAUUUGAUCAUUAUAGAUUAAUACCUGAAGAUGAAGUGGAUAAUUUAGAUAUUUUACGAUAGUGGAAAUUAAAUGAGCAGUCAUACCCUGUAUUAUCUAAAAUGGCACGAGAUCUACUAACAGUUCCAGUCUCAACAAUGGCAUCUGAGUCUGCUUUUAGUGCAGGUAACAAGGUAUUGGACGAAAGAAGAUCUAGACUUAAAGAAGAUAUUUUGGAAGCUCUCAUAUGCGUGAAAGAUUGGAUAUUCGCGGAUCGAAGGAUGUAAGAUAAAAUUAUUGAUGAUGUUGCUGAAGACUUCAAAAAUCUUGCAAUUCCUGAAGAUUGAUUGGGAAACAAAUAUAUAAUUUUUUAACAACUAAAUUAUAGUUAAGUAGGUGCCAACCUAAUUGGGAUGUACUUAAACUAUAAAUUAUAGUAAAAGUAGGUGCCAACCUAGUUGGGAUGUACUUAUGCUAUAAAUAUUUGAUAAUAGUAUUUAGAAAUGCAGUUAGUUGUUAUUUGUUUAAGUUAAAUUUAACUUUGCAAAGUUAUAAAUAAUUCAUGUAAC
rnacentral:lncRNA from 1 species